rnacentral:rRNA from 1 species
UACGGGGGGGGCAAGCGUUGUUCGGAAUUACUGGGCGUAAAGGGCUCGUAGGCGGCCAACUAAGUCAGACGUGAAAUCCCUCGGCUUAACCGGGGAACUGCGUCUGAUACUGGUUGGCUUGAAUCCGGGAGAGGGAUGUGGAAUUCCAGGUGUAGCGGUGAAAUGCGUAGAUAUCGGGAGGAACACCAAUGGCGAAGGCAGCUCGCUGGGACGGUACUGACGCUGAGACGCGAAAGCGUGGGGAGCAAACAGGG